ACGACCUUACUUGAACAGGAUAUGUUCUAUAGGUUCGUACCUCUGUAUCCUUGAGUUCUAAGGAGACAGGGUUCCAAGUCUGGAUGAUGAAUCGUGGCUGUGCGAUUUGAGCGUGAUUAAUGGUAUGGUGGAUCGGUGUUGAAUCACCUUAACAGCGGAGGAUCGUUCUCAGCUUGCCUUGUCUUGCUGGGUUGGUCGCGCAGCUGUCUGACAGGCU